CCUUUCUGACGGACUGCCAAGAGUUUUCUCCCUCUUCCCACCUGCACUGGGCUACCUGCAGACACCCAGGAGGACACAGGCACAGGGCUGCACUCUGAGCCCACCACACAGCCAGAGUUCAACCAACAUUCAAAUGCUUCCACCAGCACAGCACCCCGAGUUCAUCUCAUGCUGUGAUCUCUUGUUCUCAUCACCUCCAGGAUCACCAAACCCUGCAACAGGAGCGUUCAAAGCCGCUGCCGAAGCUGGACAUGGCCCAAGGCCUCCUCCAAGGGCCCAGCAGUGUGGAUCUGUUUCCAGUGGAGCUGCAUCCGUGGCCCUUCCCAUGCACACACAGGCACACACCCCGGGCACUGGGCUAAAAUUAGCAGCAGGGCCGAUAUCCUCUGCUGCUCUUUAGCCAUCCAUACUGCUAACAGAUGAGUGGAAUGGGGGAGGUCAAGGAUUUUUAAUUACUGUGUAAAAUUAGGGCCUAAUAGAAUUUGGUUUCCUGUUUC